rnacentral:rRNA from 1 species
UGCGUAGGUGGCGCCGUAAGUGGGGUGUGAAAUUUCGAGGCUUAACCUCGAAACUGCAUUCCAUACUGCGGUGCUUGAGGACUGGAGAGGAGACUGGAAUUUACGGUGUAGCAGUGAAAUGCGUAGAUAUCGUAAGGAAGACCAGUGGCGAAGGCGGGUCUCUGGACAGUUCCUGACACUGAGACACGAAGGCCAGGGAGCAAACG